ACAUAAAAUAUCGUAAGAAUGGAGUUCUUCGACGAGGACGCUAGGCCAAGGUUCCUCUUCCAAUCUCAAGCUAAAGCUUCUUCUGCUUCAGAUUCACAAGAUUACCACAAACCCAGCAAGCCAUUCCUCUUCUUUACCAUUUCACUUUCUUGCCUUUUCUUCGCUCUCUCAAUUUUCUACCUCCAAUCCGAACCCUUUCGAUCCAUCCUAAUCUGGUUCUCUCUUUCUCUCCUCAUCGGUCCCUUUGCUCCCAUUUCCCUCACCGGCGGCGACGUCCGCGUCGGCCAUGGUUCAAUUGUUGAGUUCCCCAAUGAAGAAGUCGCAGUCGAUGAAGACACAAGCAAGAGGUCUUCUCAGAAGAGAUCGAAGGCUCGUAGAUCUGAGGAUACAGCGAUCGGUCCCAUCGUCUCGAUUGAUAGCGUCAACACGUCUGAGCGGGCGGAGAAGAAGAAUCAAGGAGUUGGUGGAAAUGGUGUGGUAUUGAAUGAAGAGAAGGAGUGGACUGAAGAAGACGUUGAGAUUUUGAAGAAACAGAUGUCGAAGCAUCCGGUGGGAAAACCUAGACGAUGGGAGGUAAUUGCAGAGGCAUUCAGCGGGCGGCAUAGGAUGGAGAGUGUCAUCAAGAAGGCAAAGGAAUUAGGAGAGAAGAAGCUUGAUGACUCUGACUCGUAUACACAGUUUUUGAAGAAGAGAAAACCGGUGGAUAAGAGACUUGAUAAUGGGAAUGGAGAUUUGGGAGGUGAACCGGAGGGGAAAGCUGACGAUGGUACUGGUGAAGGAGCUGGAAGUGGUUGGAGUGCAGGGGAGGAUAUUGCACUGCUUAACGCUUUGAAGGCAUUUCCAAAGGAUGCUGCUAUGAGAUGGGAGAAGAUUGCGGCUGCUGUACCGGGAAAAUCCAAAGCGGCUUGCAUGAAAAGAGUCACUGAUCUGAAAAAGGAGUUUAGGAGUGCAAAAGCUGCCGCAGAUGGGUAGAUACAAAGAGGAAAAUCCCUUGAGAUCUUGUCAGUUUAAUCUGCGAGAGUGUGAAAUUAGUUGAGAGAAACCCAAGAAUCCGUGAGGCAUGAUGAAGUUUCUUGAACUACGAAAAGCAGCGUGCUAAUGUCUUCUAAUAUCUACAUUCUGUCAUUGGUAAUUUGGUAUGCUUCAAAACCCAAAGCUCUAGUGUUGCUUUGGCCUUUGGGAAGAGUUGUCCUCUAUAUUGAAGAAUGACAAGAGUUUCACUCUUUUAAUUAUAAGCUGCUUCGAUUUCGCCCUGUGACUCAUACUUUCAGACUUGUAUAGUCUGUGUCUAAGGAGUAGCUUUCCUCAAGUUGAGCAUCUUCUGAAUGAAGCUUCUCCCUACUAAACAAGUACAGAACUAUGUCAUAACAGACAUCCGCAAUGUCCAAUCUGACAACGAUUUCAGUGAGAUCAUGGGUAUAUCGAGCUGCAGAACGGGGUGAGCCUUCAGAAACAGAGGAUAUGUAGUCAUGUGCUCCUCCUGGUACCAGAGGAUCGAGGAGUACGAUGCAACCUAAUCAAUCAAUGUCUAUUCAAUAAAAUUCGCGUCACGUUAAUCUAAGCUAUACUUCCAUGUAGGCUUUUUUACCAAUAUUUUAUGUACGGUAACAAACAAACAAAAAAAGACCAAAAUGCUUGAGAAGUAUUUAUCAGACACUUGCAUUGAAUCUCAUUCUUAGCAAGAA